GGCAAGAUGUUGCAGUGGUAAGCACUGCUGCCUCACAAUAAGGAGGUUCUGGGUUCGAGCCCUGCCCUGCCU